UACGGAGGAUGCAAGCGUUAUCCGGAAUGAUUGGGCGUAAAGCGUCCGCAGGUGGCAACGUAAGUCUGCUGUUAAAGAGUGAGGCUCAACCUCAUAAGAGCAGUGGAAACUACAUAGCUAGAGUGCGUUCGGGGCAAAGGGAAUUCCUGGUGUAGCGGUGAAAUGCGUAGAGAUCAGGAAGAACACCGGUGGCGAAAGCGCUUUGCUAGGCCGCAACUGACACUGAGGGACGAAAGCUAGGGGAGCGAAUGGG
rnacentral:rRNA from 1 species